GAGUUUUGCUCUUGUUGCCCAGGUUGGAGUGCAGUGGCAGGGAUCUCGGCUCACCGCAACCUCCGCCUCCUGGGUUCAAGCAAUUCUCUUGCCUUAGCCUCCCAAGUAGCUGGGAGUACAGGCAUGUGCUGCCAUGCCGGGCUAACUUUAUAUUUUUAGUAGAGGCAGGAUUUCUCCAUGUUGAUCAGGCUGGUCAUGAACUCCCGACCUCAGGUGAUCCACCUGCCUCGGCCUCCCAAAGUGCUGGGAUUAUAGGCAUGAGCUACCAUGCCCAGCCAUAUUUUAUUUCUUUAGAUAGGUGUUUAAGUACAUACAUGGUCUUUGUGUUUAAGUAAAAUUUUUAUUUGGAGAUAUCGCUGGGGGUCGGGGGAGAGAAGUGGAGCCUGUUUGAGCCCUAGCCCCAAGUAACGCUACUGCCCUUGAGUGGUCUUGGAGACACCCUCCCCAACUAAGUGUCUCUUUGCAUAGCAAUGGCUCCCGUCCCCAUGCUCUCUGGUACCAUGACAACUGGACGGGUAGUGGCGGGUCGGGCGAGGCACAGCACACGACCUAGUGGACCAGCCACUGGGAACAAUGAGUCUGUGGUGGCCAAAUCCAGCCUUGUUCUCCACUUUGUCAAGGGACAAUUUCAAGAGUACCAGGAGAGCAUAAUCAGAGCAGCGUUCCUUACACAGACUGUCUGCUUAGACAACACAAUAGUCAAGUUUGAGACCUGGGGCAGCGCUGGACAGGAACAGUAUGGUAGCCCGGCCCCCCUGUACUAUGAAAUCACCAAAAAAGAUACAUUUGCACCAGCCAAGAAACAGGUGAAGGAGCUAGAAAGGCACGCCAGCACCAGCAUCGUCACUGUACUUGUGGGUAACAAGGCAGACCUGGCCAGCAGGAAAGCCCUGGAAUUCCAGGAAGCACAGGACUAUGCAGACGACAACAGUUGACUGUGGAGACAUCAGCAAAGACUGCAAUGAAUGUAAAUGAAAUUUUCAUGGCGAUAGCUAAGAAGGUUCCUAAAAUUAAGCCCCAGAAUGCAUCUGGUGCUCCAGGCUGAAACCUCCAGGAAAACCACCCAGCAAGUAAGAGCCACUGCUGCAGCAACUGAGCCUCUCUUGCCUGCCCACUGCAACUACUUUCUCUGCCUGAACGACUAGACUGGAAUCCAUUCUAACCAAUCGCACUCAGCAACUGGGACCACCACUGGGGACAGGGGAAGGGGCCCACCAUGAUUUCUCCACAUAAUUUUGAUCAUGGGCCACAGGGAGUUAUUCUACCUGCACCUUUCUGUACAAAUACUAAUUCAAUUUUAAGUCUUAGGUCACUUUUUAAAUAAUAUUGAUUUUCUGCUCUUCCCACUUCCUCCCCUUUCUAUUGCUCUCCUACUUUUCCUUUGCUAGUAGCAGCCACAUGCUCCUGUUCCCCUCACCCUUGUAUAUGAGGAAGGUGGGGUUGGAGCAACUACCCUUUCUUUGCCUCUUGCAGAAUAGACUCAGCAAAAGCAUCCGCAUCCAUACCUUAUUUGGCGUGGUCUUGGGUUCCGGUGAUGGAGUAGCUAGGGAAGAGAGAAGCAGCUCUUCCUUCAGCUGGCUGUCAUCAGGCUGCAGCCCUCCCCCACUCCUAACUCCCAGCUGGGAAACCACAGAAUUGCCACAGCAUUAUUGUGACAGCCAUGAACCCACUGCCCACAACUCCUCCACCCUCAGUCAUCCUGACCUCUGGCACUAAGCCCUGUUCUGACCAAAUCACAAUGAUGAGUAUUGGGAAGUAGGCAGGUAAAGGGGGAGUAGGAAGGGAUGGAACUGACUUUUUCUC